CAUUCACACCAAUGAAAGCAUCUGAUACAAAUGAAUCAAGUGUAAGGAUUUUGACAAGUGUAUUGUCCUCGUUUGAUAAAAUAUAUUUCAUCUUCAUGGUAAAUCAGGAGCGUCAAUGACUUGAUCGCAAAUGCUUGCAAAACUGGUUUAAAUCAGACAAACAAACUUUGACAGGAGAAUAACCAAAGCAUGCAGGAGAAGAAAGCAUUUGACGUACGAGAAAAAAAUAGGCAAGCAUGGACUAACC
rnacentral:misc_RNA from 1 species